rnacentral:rRNA from 1 species
UUCGCCCUUAGAGUUUGAUCCUGGCUCAGAACGAACGCUGGCGGCAGGCUUAACACAUGCAAGUCGAGCGAAGGCUUCGGCCUUACCGGCGGACGGGUGAGUAACGCGUGGGAACGUGCCCCUCUCUAAGGAAUACCCCCGGGAAACUGGGAUUAAUGCCGUAUACCCCCCUCGGGGGAAAGAUUUUUCAGAGAGGGAUCGGCCCGCAUCUGAUUAAGUAGUUGGCGGGGUAACGGAUUACCAAACCCACGAUUAAUACCUGGUUUGACAGAAUGAUCAUCACCCCUGGCACUGAAACACGGCCCAUACUCCUGCGGGAGGCAGCGUUGCGUAAUCUUGAGACAAUGGGGGCAACCCUGAGCUAACCAUGCCUCGUACGUUAAGAACGCCCUACGGCCCUAAAGCUCUUUCACCGGGGAAGAUAAUCACUGUACCCGAAUAAGAAACGCCGGCUAACUCCGGACUCUCGGGCCGCUGUCUUACUCGAGGGGGUGACUCGAUCGUCCUCAAUUACUGGCUACAGAUCGUCCGCAUGCGGAGCCGAUACUUGGGGGUCAAAUCCCUGGACUCAACCCCGAAACUGC